AUAAUGAUAAAUUCACUGGAUUAAUAUUAUAUUUGGGUUUGGUACAGAUUUUCAUAAAUUAGAGAUAAAAUGCACAUUGAGUACAAAUUUGACUAAAGAAGGAUUCCUUCCCAGAUCCGACCCGGUUGAAGAUCGGGUCGGGUCCGAGUCGGGUUCGGAUCCGAAUCAGGUCCAUUUCUUUUGUGCUUUUAGGAAAUAAUUUUGGGGCAAAUCUAAUUUGGCCAUAUCAUAACUAUGAGGUGCUGGGUGACCCAUGACUUAAAAGAUUUGCAAUUGACCUCCAGUGAGAACAGAUGACCCGUGACGAAUCCGUCUACAAUCCAAAUUUCAUAUCACAUUAUUUAUUUUAUCCAUAUGACUGAUUGGACGGAACUUGGUGUCUCCCAGCUCCCAUCUCAGGAGGGCAAAAGACAUCCCAGCUCUUCUCGGAUCGUAGCCGCAUCCCGACCAUCCAUGUCCUCCUCCUUCCCAGCAACCAAAGAAGGAAGUUCACACCCUUCCAAAUCCUCCACGCCAUCAACGCGUUCACAGUCAGCGAUCCAGCUUGCUCCCAGCGCCUCACAGCAGCAUCUCCUCCGCGUCUCUGGCCCGUCCGCAUCUCAAGCUCUUCCGGAUUCCA
rnacentral:lncRNA from 1 species